UCUCUCCCCGCUCGUUGCCUUCACGGCGGCGGCCCCCGCGGGGCCGGAGGGUGCCGUCAGGGAGGCCGGCUCGCCGGGCGGCUGAGGAGAGGAGCCUCGGCGCCCGUGUGGUGCGGAGGAGCGGGGCCGGGCGCCGCCGGUUCGCCUGUAGGCAGAGGCUGGAGGGGCCGUGGCCGAGCCGGCGGAGGAGCGGCCGGCCCGGCGGGGCAGCCCCGCCAGAAGGGCCGCUCGGCGCUGCUCCCCGGCCGAGCCCGGGCCGGGGCGGCCUCUGGGCCGCGGCGGCGGCUGCUUGGCGCCUUGUUUGCGGUGCUAACCUGAACCUCUUCGCGGAGGUCUUUACCUGACUUUUGAGUUUCUUCUAGCGCGAACUCGCUGCUUUUAAAUCGGAAGUGGUGAUUAUUCCUGAGCUCCAGAUUGAAAGAGGCAUGUCGGAAUCACUUUCUACACAUCAUCUCUCAAGAACUUAUGAUUGACACCUGAUUUGAAGGAGCAUCACUGAACAAUAGUUAGCUCCCUUUUUCCGCCAGCCUCUUGAGGAGAAAAAAAAAAAAGUGACUGCUUGUUAAUGAUCACAAAUGACUGUCCACUCUCUUGGAAACAGACUCAUCUGUCUCUCCGUUAUGUAAGUGUGCAGCAGAGAGGCUGGGCUACAGCAGUGCAGUAACAUUCGGAGCGGGUAACCAAAGUUAGAGGGAGCUGCUCAGCUGAGCAUUUCUUUUGGAGAAGGAUAGAUUCUGGAGCCAAACUUUAGUCUCCUCAUUUGAAAAUUUUGCCCUGCGUCCUCCUCUUCACUUUAGUUUCACACUCAAAAUCUGGAAUCUGGAAAGACGUGGACUCUUCAUAGGUCGUGUGCAUCUUGAGCAAGCGUGCACAGCCACAUUGGACACCAAGACCUUGUCACAGGGGUCGGCACUGGACAAAGGAAGAAAGUUUUAAAGCCAUCAAGAGAUACAGUGUUAUAUUUUUAAUACUAAUUUCAAAACUUGGGUUGAAGUAUUUACCUCUGAAAAAGUGUUCUCUCCAGUUGUUGGACAAAAUUCUGGAAUUACAAGAUGAGAUUGUAUAGCCCACAUUUUAUAGGAGAUAGUGCAUAAUAUGCUCGUUUAGCCUUGAAAUCUGUUAAAUUGAUUAACUAUGUUAAACAAUAGUUUUAAAUCACUUUUCGCUCUUCUUUCAUCCAUGAGCGCUGUCAAGGAAGAGCUUGGCAUUGAAAUAGCCAUUAUUUAAAUGGUGCCCUCAAGCACAGGAAGAUAUAUGAGACGCAAAAGACGUGUGACUCCAAAAGAACUUACCAACUUUGGACUGCUUUAUAAUUUCUUCAGUUUUUAAUGUGUGUAGCUGAAUGCAAAACUCAUCUUAUUCUCUGGGUAUGCCAAAUCAAUCAAGUGAAUGCUAAUGUCCUGCUAGCUCCAGCAAUUCAGCUGGAAUUGAACUAGCAGAGACAAUGCCCAGAGCUGAGCUGACAUAAUUGUGAAUGGCUCCGAUGCACAAAUACAACAGAAAGAGAAUAGGAACUAGACAUUUUAAUGUCAACUCUCUUAGAAGCACAGAAAAAAAAAAAAAUCAUCAUUGCUCAGAUAGAAACAGGAAAAAAAAAAGCAGAGAGAGAGAAAUCUUAUUUUUCAAGCUCCUGAAGGAAAAAAAAGUGGAGCUCAAAAUAGAAUUCUAUCAGAAAGAAUGGGUUCUUAAUAGUCCUUUAAACUAAAAUGCAUGAAACAGUGAUGAAGUGAUUUUUGCUGCAUCUUUAAGGAGCUUGCUUUUGUCAGUCUGAGGUUAUUUGUAAAAGGGCCUCUGCAGAAAAUUACGGUCUCAAAUUAUGUUUUUUCAGGCUCAGAUUGCAUAGGUAAGAAGCACCAUUGCGAGCAGCAGUGACAAAGACGGCCCCGUGGCACACAGAGAAGCCAGAAGGGGAACGCUGCUCUUCAGGCGCUGCCUUGACGUGAUUUACGGACAGUUUGUGGAGCCUAAGCACAGGACUAGGUUUGUGGCUUGGUUUGCAGGAGUUCUGCUCCAGUGUCUUAGAAAAUCUUCUUUAGGCAUUGCCUCAGUUUGGUUACCUGCAACCUGGAGAUACGCAAAAGCUUCUGGCAUGGUAUUUAUUGUAAAAGGGGUUAUGGUGAGUAAAUAGUUAUUGUUACUAGAUGGGAGGAUCUGUGAAGUUCUGUUGAUGUUAGCCGAAUAAGGGAAGAGGAGGAAGAGGAAGGAUGGAAAUAGCAGAGCAUUUGGCAGGCCUGAAUGUCAGUAGCUUCCAUGAGAUGCUUUCUUGUACGAAAUGUUGGCAUCCCUUUAUUUCGUCAAGGAAAUUGAGGUUUGAAAGUAUCAGAUUCUCCAAGCAGACGUUUGCUUUCCUAUACUGAUGUUGAAACAGGAGGCUCCCGAGCUGUAUGUGCAGAAGCUGUGAUUUAGCAGAGGGGAGAUGUACCAUGAACGUUGUAUGUCUGGUCCUGGGGUGGGAGAAGAACCGUUUCAUCUUUACGUGGUAGCUGAGGACCCAUGAAAGAGAGAGCUUGUUCUGUGUAGGAGGGGAUGCUGUCACUCUGGCACCGCGAUCAGAUGUAGAAGCUUUAUGCUUUCUGGUGAAGCAGGGAUGUAAGCAGUGCUAAUAGCGCAUGCAUGUGAGCAGGGAGUAGCAUACACUGCAGGCAAAAGAGGAGAGCGCGUAGGGUCUGAGAUAUUGCUGCAUUUGAGAUCAAUGUGUCAGAUUUUAGCCUCUUUCUCUUUCAAAGAGAUGUUGACAGUGUUGUAUUGUCUCUCAGGGCCUCAGCUUGGCCAGUCCUAGCGUACUGUCUGGUUUCUUUCAGUUUAGUUUGUGAAGAGCAGGCUGUAUUUAGACUCCUGACUUGCCCAGCCUUCUGUUACUGCAGCUACCGUGCUGCAGCCUUUAGCAGAGUCGCUGCUGUCAACAACUAAGCCACAGCACUCCUGCGCUCUGCCUUUUAUUGGCCUUUAUGGAUCCCUUUAACAGAUACAAAAAUGCAAAGGUGCCACUGCUCCUUAGCACCAUGGUAGUAGCUGCUACAGUGUGCCAGAGGCGUAAUCCUAUGGGAGGGUGCACCAGGAGAAGGGCACCGGGGGGAUCCCUGACCCUGCAACGCUCAGCGUUGCUCCUGGCUCCCUGCAGCGCUGGCAUCGAGGAUGGCAGUGGUGCGAAGCGAAUAUUUGCUCUGUUCGCACCAGCUGCACCUCCUAUCAGUCCUUUGAUGGCAGGGGACAAGCCAUUGUCACUGCGGCUUGGGGCAAGCAGGUACGGAUAAGACGGCACACUUCCUAAUUCCCAAGGGAACGAGGUCUCAGGUGGUAAAUACAGUGGGGUCUGUUGAGGGGCAAGGGAGGGGAUGCUACGUGCUGCAGAGUCUUCUCUGUUCCCCCCUCAUUUCUACAGAAAGCUUCCAUGUACUUCAUACUCUUUAUGUGGGACUUUUUUUUUUAAUACGUGCAAUAUCUAACAUGCUCAUAAUUCUGAGAGUACACUCAUAGUUUCAAAUGUUGAUAUGCUGAUACAUGGAUAACGGUGCCCUAGUUCCCACUCAUAUCUAAAUGUCUACCUUCAGGUAAGAAUAAAGCAGUAGCUGAUUGUUACAACUUCUUUCAUCUGUGCUUAGUUUUGCUAGCUCAUUAUUCUGAGGAAUUUUUCUUGAGAAAAAAAUUACACAUGUUUAGGUCAGUUAUAUCAGUACAAGAGGCUGUGAAGCUGCUAUGAAGGAAUAGAAAAAUCUCUUCAGGAGCGUGAAUUGUCAGUGAUGUACAGUAUCUAUUCACACUCUAAAAGAUUGAAUUAAAAGUGAUAAUUAUGUGCUG